UAGUCCAUCGAUUUUAUAUAG
ensembl:piRNA 21ur-2975 ncRNA